ACUGAAUAAUUUGACUGGCGAGGAGACGGUUCAGGUGGCGCUGAAAAUGACGGCGCCGCUGUCUGCCCACGUCCAGCCCCAGCACCAGGUCGUCGACGUCGGAAAGGCGGCCGUGUUCAGAAAUAUGCGCUGAUGCGGGAGGAGGUCGCUGAGCUGACGAGGGUCGACCCUGAUUGGCAGAAGCAGGAGGUGGAGAGCAAGGUGCGAAGAAAAGGACGCCCUGGGCAGCGACUCGGAGGAUGUGCAGCAGCACGGCAACUCCGCCUUUUCGUCCGAGACGUCGGUGUCGAGCGGCUGCAAGUCGUAUCCUUCGCGCCAGGUGCGCACCUCCAGCCACACUGACGACACCACCUUCAGUGUUGUGUCGUGGGAGUGGGCGUCGGCGUGCUAGUCUGGCUGCUCGUCCGACUCGCGCCGCCAGCUGAGAGCUGAGAGCUGAGCGAAGCCGAGUGCUGACUCG